CAACAUUUGUCAUACAUUUUUUAUUUUUUAAUAAGAGCACAGAAAUGUACAGGGCUAUUAGGGCAGAUCCCAGAUCAGCUCAUACGUCUUGGAGCAAGGAGAGGAUGUGCACCAUAGUACACUAAAUUAAAUAGGCUAUCUUCACAAUGUGCAACUUGAAAGUCAAAAUCAAUGUUUAACCUACUGCAUAUCUGAAAAUAUAUGGUUACACUUUGGCAGUCCCUUUACAUUAGCAUAGGAAAGUCCUCUCAGUCUUGUAUCAACAAAAAGCCAUCAUCUUGGAAUGAAGCCCGCCAUUAUGACUAAGCCUCGAUAGGCAAAUAGCUUAUAACAAAAUAAGGAUAAAUAAAAUAAAUACACUUCAAAAUAAACAGGCACUCAAUUUUCCCAUUCCACACUAGAACCACAACAGUCCCCGAACACAAGUCGCAUAAUAAACUACCCCUUAUGUACACAGGCAAGUCAAGGCGGCGGGUUUCGCUAACUCUGUGCUAAUUUAGACAGCCGUUAUUCACGUUUAACUACUAUAGAAUAAACUGAGAAAAAGUGCAGUAGGGGAGAGAUGUACUAUUUGAUGUGACUAGAGGACUGACCCUCAGAGAAGUGGAGGAGAGAUGUACUAUUUGAUGUGACUAGAGGACUGACCCUCAGAGAAGUGGGGGAGAGAUGCACUAUUUGAUGUGACUACAGGACUGACCCUCAGAGAAGUGGGGGAGAGAUGUACUAUUUGAUGUGACUACAGGACUGACCGUCAGAGAAGUGGAGGAGAGAUGCACUAUUUGAUGUGACUACAGGACUGACCCUCAGAGAAGUGGGGGAGAGAUGUACUAUUUGAUGUGACUACAGGACUGACCCUCAGAGAAGUGGGGGAUAGAUGUACUAUUUGAUGUGACUAGAGGACUGACCCUCAGAGAAGUGGGGGAGAGAUGUACUAUUUGAUGUGACUACAGGACUGACCCUCAGAGAAGUGGGGGAUAGAUGUACUAUUUGAUGUGACUAGAGGACUGACCCUCAGAGAAGUGGGGGAGAGAUGUACUAUUUGAUGUGACUAGAGGACUGACCCUCAGAGAAGUGGGGGAGAGAUGCACUAUUUGAUGUGACUAGAGGACUGACCCUCAGAGAAGUGGGGGAGAUAUGUACUAUUUGAUGUGACUAGAGGACUGACCCUCAGAG